rnacentral:lncRNA from 1 species
CACGUACCCACGAAGGGAGGGGAGGAUUGGCCAUGACUCUCGGUGGAAACCACGGUGGAAACAAAAUACAGAGAGAAUGUUCAUUGGUGAACUUCACCUUAAAGCGCAGUCAACUCAUGAAAAUGAAGUCCUCUUUCCUUCCCCCUUUUUCAGCUAAGUAAAACAAACUCCAGAGACUGAAAUAAUGUUAUCUCACAAAUGCAACAUGACCAGGAUGGCAGCCAGGUGCUCACUUCUGCAACAGUAAGCUCGGAUGCCACCUGCUGCACCCCCUCCCCCAGAACGCACAGCCACCAGUGCAGAAGCAAGUGCAAGUCGCACUGGAGCACUCAGUCCUCCAGGAAGUUGCACCAUUAAUGUAGUCACCGCUGCUGCACCAUCACCUGUGGGUUCCACAGCAACUGGCCGCACUGAUCCACAAGAUGCUGGGACACCCUUAGGCGAGUCCCUGAGGGCGCGACGUUGAGGUUUUUUACGUAAUGGUGACCGAAAGCUGUCACCACUC